CAGCUCGAGUUUCUCUUGAUCUACGCAUAAAUCUAUUUGCCUUUUACCAAAGAUUUCCGCAGAAUGAAACCACCGUGAGUUUAAUGUAAUUUUGGACGGCUCCGCUCACAGCAGGCCU